rnacentral:rRNA from 1 species
GCUUGUCUCAAAGAUUAAGCCAUGCAUGUCUAAGUAUAAACGAUUUUAUACGUGAAACUGCGAAUGGCUCAUUAUAUCAGUUAUAGUUUAUUUGAUGGUCCUUACUAUUUGGAUAACCGUAGUAAUUCUAGAGCUAAUACAUGCAUCAAACCCCGACUUCUGGAAGGGGUGUAUUUAUUAGAUGGAAACCAAUGCGGGGCAACCCGGUAAAUGGUGAUUCAUAAUAACUUUCGGAUCGAUCUUCGGAUCGAUGCAUCAUUCAAGUUUCUGCCCUAUCAGCUUUGGAUGGUAGGGUAUUGGCCUACCAUGGCUUUAACGGGUAACGGAGAAUUAGGGUUCGAUUCCGGAGAGGGAGCCUGAGAAAUGGCUACCACAUCCAAGGAAGGCAG